rnacentral:lncRNA from 1 species
AUUCUGAGCCUCUGUUUUUUCUUCUGUAAAAACUUACAUUAUGGGCUUGUUGAAAGCACUAAAUAAGAUAGUCCAUGUGUUCUGGGUUCUGGUCCCUGAAAAACAGACUCUGAGAUGAUGAUCUUUAUGGAAGUGGUUUAUUACACAGUGCCCCCUGGCAAAAUCCAUAGGGGAGAAGGGAAGUGGGACAUAGAAAGGGAAGGAAGCCAAGCAAGGGUGCAAUAUGAAGCAAAGUUCUGUGAGUGUAACUUUAGCUCAGUCAUGCAAGGAAACACUGGAGAGUAAAUCACAAAACUAGGGUUAUCCCAAACUAGAAGCAGGGUAGCUGGAUUAUUUAUACCCUCACACGCAUCAGUCAUUAAGGGAUACUCCCUGAGGGAUGUAAAUUCCUAAGCUCUUGCAGCUGUCUGCAUACACAAGAAAAGCUGAAGUUCUGGAUCUUGAGGGAAGUCCUCGGACAGAGUUGGGGACUGACUGUCCUGAAAAGAAGCACAUCUGAAACUGUAUGCACGACUGGUAACUGGCAAAGGAUUGAGGGCAUGUGAGAGGUGCUCUGAGAGUAUCUGCUAAAUUAUGGAAAGAGUUUUAGCAUGAUCUGUGCCAAUCCUAACCCACUGGUAAAAUCUCCCUUUAUUAUAUACAGUGUAUACAUAAACAUUAUCUAUGAAGACAAAAAAGGACAAGAAGAGCAGGUAUCUAUCUCAUGGCACACUGGACAGUGGGACUAGAAGAAGCAGAUUAUUCUGGGGGUCGACUUUGCAAAUGCAACACAUUAUUAGGGAAACUGGGAUCCAGUUACUGAGUGGCCUAAAUGACCAGAAAUCCCAAAGAUCCACCUAUUACUGUUGACAGAGAAGAAAAGUCAUGAAAGUUCCUUUCAGUCCUGUGACUGCUGGGCACUGAUUCUGCAUUCAAGAUGUGUUUCUAGAUGUGAGUGGCCAUACUUUAUUGCUUGUGGCUUAUGGAAUGGAUAACCUCCGUGGGCUCCAUUUCCUAAUCUUUAAGGUAAGAGGUCCUCUAGUUCUAAAAUUUUACGAAUUGACAAACCGCUAACUACAAGAUGAACACUCCAUAAAUACUAAGCCACAUUCUCCACAGUCACACAUCCCCAAAGUGAGGUAAAUUUCUUUUUCCAUAAAAAGGUGCCAGAGAUAGUGUAUCUUUGUUUCCAGCAUCUGUCCUGUGCAGGUGUACACGGUUCUCACCCAACUGGCUUCUAGUAAUCCUUGUAGUUGCCUCUUGUAUCCAUGUGUCAUAUGCCUCCUGUGACUGAUUAGUUAAUCUGUCUUUCUCUGUCUCACAUACUCUAUAAAUACACAAAAAGACAUAUAUAUGUACACAUAUGUACAUGUAUAUAAUUUUUUGGGCAUAAAAAGCAGCCGAAGUAUCCUCUUACUCUGAUUUUAGAGAUUAUAACUUUUAGGCUGAUUGGGGUGGGAUGGGAGGCAAAAAAAAUUGCUCAGGCAGGAUUCCGAUGCUACUAAUUACUCACCAAAAUAUGGAUAAGACCAUUUUUGUAAGCAAUGAAUUGGCUCAUUUAAAAUUCCUUUGUUUUCAUUUUUAGAAGAAAGAAAGAGGAAGAAGGAAGAAAGUCAAAAGGAUGAAACAACAAAAGGAGCUCCCCACAGAAAGACAGACUCUUUCGCCAGCACAUUUAAGAAUCUAAAUGAGGCCAAGUGCCAAGCAGAUAAAGGGACUCUACUUGCUGCACAGUAAAUAAAACGGAGGCAGGAGGACACCUGCAUCAAACAAUACUUUCUGAGGGGAUGACAACAAGAUUUCAGAGAAUUCAGAUCCUGACUUUCCUGCCUCACCAGGUACAACCCAAGUCACCAGAGCUCAUAAAAGAUGUGUGUGCUGUCGCAUCUAUGUGAAGUAUUUCCAUGACCCGAGCAUUGACCACAGGACUGUGCUGGAGGAAACUGGAUCAAGGUACCAAGACAGAUACAGGAGGGUCUCCAGAAACCCUAGAGCUGAAUGGAACCCGUCUGGAAAACAUACACUGGAAACUAGGCCGAGGAUUAUCCAAAGGGUGGUUGAAAUCAAGGGUUAAAGUUUGGCUCAAGAUAAGGAAGAAUCUUCUAAUAAUUAAAACUGACCAUCCAAAAGGUAA